rnacentral:rRNA from 1 species
ACUUCACCCCAAUCAUCUGUCCCACCUUAGGCGGCUANNUCCUUACNNANGGACUUCGGGUGUUACAAACUCUCGUGGUGUGACGGGCGGUGUGUACAAGGCCCGGGAACGUAUUCACCGCGGCAUGCUGAUCCGCGAUUACUAGCGAUUCCAGCUUCAUGUAGGCGAGUUGCAGCCUACAAUCCGAACUGAGAAUGGUUUUAUGGGAUUGGCUUGACCUCGCGGUCUUGCAGCCCNNNUGUACCAUCCAUUGUAGCACGUGUGUAGCCCAGGUCAUAAGGGGCAUGAUGAUUUGACGUCAUCCCCACCUUCCUCCGGUAUGUCAGCGACAAG